rnacentral:tRNA from 1 species
GGGAAUGUGACUCAGUGGUAGAGUGCUUGCCUUGCAUGCAUGAGGCCCUGGGUUCGAUUCCUCAGCACCA